rnacentral:lncRNA from 1 species
AGUAAAACUUUAGCAACAUAACUAGAUAGUGGGCAAGGCCAUAAUGUACUAGAGGAAAGCCCUCUAGCAUGCUCUGCUGACUUCUGUGAGACUAGGAGCUUCAUCUUUGCCAGUCAUCUGUGACUGUCACUGGCACACUCUAGAAAUAAAUCCUGAGACCUUGUUCCUGCACCUGGGUAAUCAUAUUUACUGCAGUUCCCUAACAACAACAAAAAAAGAGCUAUGUCUUUUGUGGCAUCUUAACAAGUCUUGUGGUUCCCACAUAUUUCUGUAUCUGUUUGAUAUAAUUAUUGGGACUCACAGGAAAAUAAAUUUUAUACAGUAA